UUAAAAGAAGUAAGCUUACUUUUCCCGAAAUAAAUGGAUCUAGUAAAUAAUAUUAUAUGUGUUUUAAAACAUAAUUUUAUUUUUUAUUAGGGGUGAAAGGCUUAUCAAUUUUUAGGAUAUCUGGAUUAAGUUAUAAUGUAUAUAGUACAGGCAUAAUGUUGGGUAGAUUUCUGUUAAGGGAAAAUUAUUUUUAGAAAACUAAGAUGACAUUUAUUUAAGAUAACUUUAAAGUAAUCUUACUUUAAAGUAGAUUUUUUUGUUUUUUUUCUUUUUAUAAAACUUUUAAAAAUUUUAAUUAAAAAAUUUUUUAAUAAUGUUAAAAUAAGUAUUACUAAGUAAAUUUUAUUAAGGAACUCGGCAAAAAUUUUAUUCAACUGUUUAUCAAAAACAUAGUUUUAUGUAUUCAUAUAAAAUGAAACCUGCCCAAUGAAAUUUUAAUGGCCGCAGUACUUUAACUGUGCUAAGGUAGCAUAAUAAUUUGGCUUUUAAUUAAAGUCUGGUAUGAAAGGAUUAAUGAAUAAGAACUGUCUUAUUUAAUUUUAAAAAAAUUACUUAAAAGGUGAAAAUUCCUUUAGUAAGCUAAUAGACGAGAAGACCCUAGGAGUUUAUAUUUUGUUGGGGCGACAUUUCAGUAAAAUAACCUAUUUAAAUAAUUUAACGACUAUAUUAAUUAUAAUUAAACUACCCUAGGGAUAACAGCAUAAUUUAAAAAAGAUUGUGACCUCGAUGUUGG
rnacentral:rRNA from 1 species